AACACCGUAGCAAUAGUAUCAUUUUUCUUUGCGGUAAUUACCGAUCGUUAUCAGGAUGAUACUGUUUGUGAACACGGAGUUAUCUGGUCGGGCAGCUAAAUUUUUUUUUUUUAUAUUUGCUCGAUCUUUUGUCUUAUUGAGUCAUUAAGUCAUAAUAUCGGUACGAUCAUCGAUUCAUAGUAUCGUUAAUAACAAACUUGUGCAACGUUGCUAACUGUUCUGAUACGCUCAACGUGAACAUUGUUAAGUCUGCGUGUUACUCAAAUAAGUUUUCACGAUUACGGGGCUAAUAUGCGACGCAGGUGAUGAAUUUGCAUGCGAGAUGAAGCUAUUCCGAGAUUGCCCUUCAUAACGCGAUCAUUCAAGGUGCUAAUUUGUUUAAGUAGAAGUACAAUGUGCUGACGUUGUACGUAAUUAAUGUUACCGUUCAGAAAAAGCUAAAGACCUAUUUUAUUAUUGAGAAAGCAAGUCAAAGGGAGCAGCCGUUUUCUCAGCAAAAAAGUUUGCGAUAGAUCGAUUAUCGCGUGCAUAUUAAGAUCGCGGUCUGUUUAAAAGUACGUAAAUUCAAUGCGAUUGAGUUAUUAUUAUCUAUCUUACGUUGACAAAUAAUGAUUGGAAAAAAAACCAUGACAUAAACUAUGCGUCAAUAAAUUGUUAUUUACUUUAGAUUUGUGAAUCAUAAACGUGUACAGUUGCGAAAGUGUAACUGGCUACACAUUUUGCAAUAUUUGAUAAAGAAUAUAGAUAUGCCAUUGAUCGUCGAUGGUCCGAACGAGUCCAAUUGGGUGUUUAAGAACUGUGGAAGAACUUCUUAUCUAGCCUCUACU